rnacentral:misc_RNA from 1 species
GUCACAUCGUCGAGCUUGCCUCCAGUGAAGUAGGGGUAACCAGCCGCAUGGGCUGCAUCGGAAAACGGACUCCUCCCCACUGCCAUCUUUCCCACUGCCUGCGCCCGCGAUGCCAGAAGCUUCGCAAUCUCUGUAGGUGCAAGACUGCCUUGUAGGGACUUGUACACUGUAGUCGCUACGUCCUGUUCGUACAGAUUGUCGAACAGUCCAUCUGUUGCAGUUACGAUCACGUCG